rnacentral:lncRNA from 1 species
UAUUUUUUCCAAAGGAUAUUUUACUCUCUAUACGAAGUAAGAAAAUUCUCUAAAUUCUGAUUCCUUUCUAUUUCAAUACUAACGCAUUACUGUCUCCAUCAAACAUCAGGUAUGAAGUACAUCAAAGCAGUGCUAUUGCAGACUAUCAUCCAUUCCCUACGCUUCCCCUGACCCAAUGGCCAAGACCAUCAACGCAUCACAACCGCAGCCACAACUACAAUAAGAGAAUCGAAAACCACCAGGGACUAGGGAUGAGUUUGCUAACCACAAUUAAAACUCAAAAUUGGAAGAGGAAGAAUCAAAUACAAGAAAAUCGUGUGAUAAGAACAUAAGAAAAACUUGAAAGGUUGAUAUGAUGUUAGUGUGUCGUCG